GGUUGAUCCUGCCAGUAGUCAUAUGCUUGUCUCAAAGAUUAAGCCAUGCAUGUCUAAGUAUAAACAUCUUUAUACAGUGAAACUGCGUACAGCUCAUUAUAUCAGUUAUUAUUUAUUUGAUGGUACCUUACUACAUGGAUACCCGUAGUAAUUCUAGAGCUAAUACAUGCGCAAAGUCCCGACUCUCGCGGGGAGGGAUGUAUUUAUUAGAUAAAAAACCAAUGCGAGACUUCUGUCUCGGUUCGUUUGGUGACUCCUAGUAACUGUUCGAAUCGCAUGCCAGCAAUGGUGG
rnacentral:rRNA from 1 species